rfam:Tyto alba contig76582, whole genome shotgun sequence.
AUAAUGGUUUCUUUAGAAACUACACAUUUCUUAUGUAAAUGUUGU